rnacentral:rRNA from 1 species
UUCCCCCAGUAGCGGCGAGCGAACGGGGAGGAGCCCAGAGCCUGAAUCAGUGUGUGUGUUAGUGGAAGCGUCUGGAAAGGCGCGCGAUACAGGGUGACAGCCCCGUACACAAAAAUGCACAUAUUGUGAGCUCGAUGAGUAGGGCGGGACACGUGGUAUCCUGUCUGAAUAUGGGGGGACCAUCCUCCAAGGCUAAAUACUCCUGACUGACCGAUAGUGAACCAGUACCGUGAGGGAAAGGCGAAAAGAACCCCGGCGAGGGGAGUGAAAAAGAACCUGAAACCGUGUACGUACAAGCAGUGGGAGCCUCUUAAUGGGGUGACUGCGUACCUUUUGUAUAAUGGGUCAGCGACUUAUAUUCUGUAGCAAGGUUAACCGAAUAGGGGAGCCGAAGGGAAACCGAGUCUUAACUGGGCGUUAAGUUGCAGGGUAUAGACCCGAAACCCGGUGAUCUAGCCAUGGGCAGGUUGAAGGUUGGGUAACACUAACUGGAGGACCGAACCGACUAAUGUUGAAAAAUUAGCGGAUGACUUGUGGCUGGGGGUGAAAGGCCAAUCAAACCGGGAGAUAGCUGGUUCUCCCCGAAAGCUAUUUAGGUAGCGCCUCGUGAAUUCAUCUCCGGGGGUAGA